AUGCAGUCGUGCGAGAACGUUGGACCUACUUCGGUAGUGAAAACUAGUACAGCGGCGAACGGGUGAGUAACACGUAAUUAUCUGCCUUUGCGUUAGGGACAACCUAGGGAAACUUAGGCUAAUACCUAAUGGUCUGGUAACAGUAAAGGUGCUUCGGCAUCGCGCAGAGAGGAGAUUGCGGCCCAUCAGCUAGAUGGUAGGGUAAAGGCCUACCAUGGCUAUAACGGGUAGCAGGUCUGAGAGGACGGCCUGCCACAUGGGGACUGAGACACGGCCCUGACUCCUACGGGAGGCAGCAGUAGGGAAUCUUCGGCAAUGGGCGAAAGCCUGACCGAGCGACGCCGCGUGGGGAUGAAGCCCUUCGGGGUGUAAACCUCUUUUCUAGGGGAAGAAUAAGGCAUUUAAUACAUGUUGAUGACGGUACCCUAGGAAUAAGAGACGGCUAACUCUGUGCCGGCAGCCGCGGUAAGACAGAGGUCUCGAGCGUUAUCCGGAUUCACUGGGCGUAAAGGGCGUCUAGGCGGUUUUGUGUGUCACCUGUGAAAGCUCCCGGCUCAACCGGGAGAGGUCGGGUGAAACUACAAAACUCGAGCUUCGGAGGGGAGAAUGGAACUUCCAGAGUAACGGUGAAAUGUGCAGAUACUGGAAGGUACCUCGAUAGCGAAGGCAGUUCUCUGGCCGACAGCUGACGCUGAAGCGCGAAAGCGCGGGGAGCAAACCGGAUUAGAUACCCGGGUAGUCCACGCCCCAAACGAUGUCAGCUAGGUGUUGGCUCCUUUAACUGAGGGCCAGUGCCGCAGCUAACGCGUUAAGUUGACCGCCUGGGGACUACGGCCGCAAGGCUA
rnacentral:rRNA from 1 species